UUAGUGGCGGACGGGUGAGUAACGCGUGGAUAACCUGCCGUAUACAGGGGGAUAACACUUAGAAAUAGGUGCUAAUACCGCAUAAGCGCACGGUUCCGCAUGGAACAGUAUGAAAAACUCCGGUGGUAUACGAUGGAUCCGCGUCUGAUUAGCCAGUUGGUGGGGUAACGGCCCACCAAAGCGACGAUCAGUAGCCGGCCUGAGAGGGUGAACGGCCACAUUGGGACUGAGACACGGCCCAAACUCCUACGGAAGGCAGCAG
rnacentral:rRNA from 1 species